GGAUGGUGGUAUUGCUGGUGGUGAUGAGGAAGAUGAUGAUGAUGAUGAUGAUGAAGGUCAUCAUCAUCAUCAUCAUCAUCAUCAUUAUCAUCAUGA
rnacentral:pre_miRNA from 1 species